UACGGAGGGUGCGAGCGUUAAUCGGAAUUACUGGGCGUAAAGGGUGCGUAGGUGGUUGUAUAAGUUAACUGUGAAAUACCUGGGCUUAACCUAGGGGAGUCAGUUAAGACUGUAUAACUAGAGUAUGGGAGAGGGUAGUGGAAUUUCCGGUGUAGCGGUGAAAUGCGUAGAUAUCGGAAGGAACACCGGUGGCGAAGGCGGCUACCUGGCCUAAUACUGACACUGAGGCACGAAGGUCAGGGGAGCAAACGGG
rnacentral:rRNA from 1 species